CACCUCCUGUGUGCAGGUAGUGGAUACUCACAAGCGUUUAAAUGCAUCACUAGCAUAAAAGUACAGUUGCUCCUCAAAUGUAAGGCAUCACUUGAUUUCUAAAAAAGGAUGUGCUAUAUCGUGUAAAAACUUCUUUAAUAACUACUUAAAUAAAAUUCAAAUUGCACUCACAUAUGUGUGCUUAAAAUAAGCAUAUAAUCAGUCCGUCCGCGGGUUUCCCAAAUCCAAGCCUGACCCUUAACUUUUCCUACUAUCCUGCUAUCCAGUCCUUCUGUUAUUCAGUCCCCAGUAUCUGAUCUAUGCUUGCACCAUCCAGUCCUAUCCUUCCACAAACCAAAGUGAAAGUAUUUGCCAAGAAUGUUUUCAUUAAUCAAGAAUGUCAGAGAUUCGAAGAUGAUCAGAUACUGUCACAUUUCAGACCAUAAACUAUGCCGACUAGCAAUUUUAUAGCGACAUUAUUCCCAUGAUCCACCAAGCACAUUCCGCGAAAUAUGGUUGCAAAGCUGAAACUUAAAGGAAUUGAGGGAAGGGCACCGCCAGGAGUGGUACCUGGAACUUAAUUUGACUCAGGCUGGAAGCCUCACCUAACCUGGACACAGAAAGGAUUAACAGAUUGAUAGCUCUUUCUCGAUUCUGUGGGUUGUGGUACAUGGCUGUUCUUAGUUGGUGGAUCGAUUUUGUCUGGUUAAUUCAGAUAACAAACGAGACUCCUCCAUGCUAAUUAGUUACAUGACCCCCGGCAGCCUGUGUACAACUUCUUAGAGAGGCAAGUGGCAUUCACCCACACGAGAACGAGCAAUAACAGGUCUGUGAUUCCCUUAGAUUUCUGGGGCUGCAUGCGCACUACACUGAAAAGAUCAGCUCAUGUCCACUCUUUGGAUAGCCCACUGAACCCCGUUCAUGAUAGGGAUCAUGGAUUGCAAUUAUUUCCCAUUAACGAAGAAUUCCCAGUAAGUGCAGGUCAGAAACUUGUGUACACACCACCAGUCGUUACUACCGUUUAGAUGGUUUAGUGAGAUCCUCAGAUCAGCUCCACUGGGGUGAGCCACUGCCCUGGCAAGAAGAUGAUCAAACUUGACCUUCUAGAGGAAGUAAAAGUUGUAACAGGGUUUCCGUAGGUGAACCUAUGGAAGGAUCAUUA
rnacentral:ncRNA from 1 species